rnacentral:ncRNA from 2 species
CAUAUCCGCGCCGAUUCAGGUGCCUUACGCCGCCGCGCGUGAGGUGAAACGGGAAGUCGGUGCAAGUCCGACGCUGCCCCCGCAACGGUAAGCGAGCGACCUCAUCACUAGGCCACUGUGCAAAUUUUGCAUGGGAAGGCGAUGACGUCAUGACCCUCGCCAGCCCGGAGACCGGCCUGAAUCUGGGAGUUGCU